rnacentral:rRNA from 1 species
GGGCCCGCACAAGCGGUGGAGCAUGUGGCUUAAUUCGAGGCAACGCGAAGAACCUUACCUGGUCUUGACAUGCCCGUCAUAGUUUUCCGAAAGGAAUUCGUCAGUUCGGCUGGACGGUGCACAGGUGCUGCAUGGCUGUCGUCAGCUCGUGUCGUGAGAUGUUCGGUUAAGUCCGGCAACGAGCGCAACCCUCGUUCCUAGUUGCCAGCGGGUAAUGCCGGGGACUCUAGGAAGACAAACCUCGUGUAGAGGUGGGAAGGUGGGGACGACGUCAAGUCAGUAUGGCCCUUACGACCAGGGCUGCACACGUGCUACAAUGCCCGGUACAAUGGGAUGCAAUACCGCGAGGUUGAGCCAAUCCACAAAACCGGGCCCAGUUCGGAUUGGAGUCUGCAACUCGACUCCAUGAAGUUGGAAUCGCUAGUAAUGG